CUUUCACCUGCUGUUGGUGUCGUUACAUCAGAUUUGCUCUGGAUUCUUUUCACGAAAAACACCAAGGACUCCACAACAUACAGAGGAUGAAGUUCUGGCUCUCUUGGUGGGGAAUAUUUUUUUUCACGUUCCAUUAUACUGCAAGUGCUGAAAAAUGUGCUAAAGAUAACUGUGAUGUAAACAAAAAUGCUUGUAACAUGACAGCUCCUGAACAUACCAGGAAAAAAUGCUGCUUGGCACAUGUAAGCAAAUGUCUGGGGAAUGGAAAUGUGAAUGGGAAUGGAAAGGGAAAUCGGAAUUGGAAUGGAAAUGUGAAUGGGAAUGGAAAGGGAAAUGAGAA